rnacentral:rRNA from 1 species
UACGAAGGGGGCAAGCGUUGUUCGGAAUUAUUGGGCGUAAAGGGUUCGUAGGCGGUUUGAUAAGUCUGAUGUGAAAUCUCUGGGCUCAACCCAGAGUCUGCAUCGAAAACUGUCGGGCUUGAGUAUGGGAGAGGUGAGUGGAAUUUCCGGUGUAGCGGUGAAAUGCGUAGAUAUCGGAAGGAACACCUGUGGCGAAAGCGGCUCACUGGACCAUUACUGACGCUGAUGCACGAAAGCUAGGGGAGCAAACAGG